rnacentral:rRNA from 1 species
UACGUAGGGGGCAAGCGUUGUCCGGAAUCACUGGGCGUAAAGGGCGCGUAGGCGGCCCGGUAAGUAGGGGGUGAAAUCCUGCGGCUUAACCGCAGGGCUGCCUUCUAAACUGUCGGGCUCGAGCACGGUAGAGGCAGAUGGAAUUCCCGGUGUAGCGGUGGAAUGCAUAGAGAUCGGGAAGAACAUCAGUGGCGAAGGCGGUCUGCUGGGCCGUUGCUGACGCUGAGGCGCGACAGCGUGGGGAGCAAACAGG